rnacentral:lncRNA from 1 species
CUACAUGAAUGCAAACCCUAGACCUAGGGGGAAAUUUCUCUUCAAAGGUUAAGUGGUGCCAAUCACAUUAAUUGUGAAGCCCAAUAACGAUCCUUCGAAGAAGUCACGAAUAAUGCAAGUGGAAUGCUCAAACAAGGAAAGAAAAUAUGAGAGGUGUGCAAAUGAAGGCAAAAGUGCUCGUGUGCAAGUAAAGGGAUAAAAAAUGCAUAUGUGCAAAUGAGACAAAGUGUUCGUGUGCAAGUGAAGGGAUAAAAAGGUGCACGUGUGCAAAUGAGAGGAGAAGUGUUCGUGUGCAAGUGAAGGGAUAAAAAGGUGUAUGUGUGCAAAUGAGAGGAGAAGUGAAAGUAUAAAAUGAUAAGUGGAUUAAAAAAUGCAUGAGCCUAGGGAAUUCAUGCAUAUUGGUACGGGGAGACCUAAAUCGUGACUUAAUUUGCCCUUUUAUAGAGGGAAUACAAGCGUGCUAAGGCUUAGAAAAAGCCACACUCGUCUAUAUCCCAUAUUUAAGGGGACUCUCAAUCAAAUGAACCCUAUAGCUAGCAUGAAAUGCAAAAAUCCUAAAAUGGAGGGAAAAGGGUUCGAGGGGCAUGCAAAAUGAUAAAACUAAAAAGAAUGCAUGACAUGUAAUGAACAUGCAAAUAUGUGCUAACGAGGGGAAAUCCCUAAGGGUCUAGCGUUGGACUAGCCCAUUCUAUGAAUUCCGACUAGCGUUGGACUAGUGGAAACGUCCAUUCAUCCAUCACAUUCAUUCAGGCUAUGGAAAGCGAGUAGACAUGCCAAACACUCAUAAACACAUAGCACAUAACACUUAGCAUGCUCGACUAGAUGCAAGGUCCUAACAAAGCAAAUUAACACGUAGCAACUAAGCAUGCAAGACACAUAAGACAAUUAAACCCCUAACUAUUACAUUUGCUAGCUAGGCACACGUCUUCGAUAGGUCUUCAUUGAAUGCUCCUCCAAGCCCUAUCUAUUACAUUCACUAACUAAAACAAAAGGGGGAAAGGGAAAAUGGACCAAAUUGCUCGCCAAAGCCCUAUCUAUUACAAGCCAAGAGGUGUACACAUACCCCAUUAAAAGAAUAACUUAAUGAAAACAAAAAGUAAAUGACAUGAGUAAAAGGAAUUAAAGAAAAACUAGGAAAGCAAAGUAGACAUGUAAUUCACUUAGCACAUUGGAUCACAUAGGAGAGACAAAAAGAU